GUGAGUAACGCGUAGGAAUCUACCCAGUAGCGGGGGAUAAGCCAGAGAAAUUUGGUCUAAUACCGCAUACGCCCUUCGGGGGAAAGCAGGGGAUCUUCGGACCUUGCACUAUUGGAUGAGCCUGCGUGAGAUUAGCUAGUUGGUGAGGUAAUGGCUCACCAAGGCGACGAUCUCUAGCUGGUCUGAGAGGAUGAUCAGCCACACUGAAACUGAGACACGGUCCAGACUCCUACGGGAGGCAGCAGUGGGGAAUAUUGCACAAUGGGCGCAAGCCUGAUGCAGCCAUGCCGCGUGUGUGAAGAAGGCCCUAGGGUUGUAAAGCACUUUCAGCAGUGAGGAAAGGUUAGUAGUUAAUACCUGCUAGCUGUGACGUUAACUGCAGAAGAAGCACCGGCUAACUCCGUGCCAGCAGCCGCGGUAAUACGGAGGGUGCGAGCGUUAAUCGGAAUUACUGGGCGUAAAGCGCGCGUAGGUGGAUUGGUCAGUCAGAUGUGAAAGCCCAGGGCUCAACCUUGGAACUGCACCUGAUACUGCCAAUCUAGAAUACGGU
rnacentral:rRNA from 1 species